rnacentral:rRNA from 1 species
GACAGAGGUGCCGAGCGUUAGGCGGAAUCACUGGGCUUAAAGCGUGUGUAGGCGGACCCAUAAGUACCUUGUGAAAUCCCACGGCUCAACCGUGGAACUGCUGGGUAUACUGCGGGUCUUGAGCGGCCUAGGGGCAGACGGAACAAAUGGUGGAGCGGUGAAAUGCGUAGAUAUCAUUUGGAACGCCAAUGGUGAAAACAGGUAGCUGGGAGUGUGCUGACGCUGAGACACGAAAGCCAGGGGAGCAAACGGG